GACGAACGCUGGCGGCGUGCUUAACACAUGCAAGUCGAACGGAAAGGCCCUGCUUUUGUGGGGUGCUCGAGUGGCGAACGGGUGAGUAACACGUGAGUAACCUGCCCUUGACUUUGGGAUAACUUCAGGAAACUGGGGCUAAUACCGGAUAGGAGCUCCUGCUGCAUGGUGGGGGUUGGAAAGUUUCGGCGGUUGGGGAUGGACUGGCGGCUUAUCAGCUUGUUGGUGGGGUAGUGGCUUACCAAGGCUUUGACGGGUAGCCGGCCUGAGAGGGUGAACGGGCACAAUGGGCCUGAGAUACGGCCCAGACUGCAACGGGAGACAGAAGGGGGGAAUAUUGCACAAUGGGCCGAAGCCUGAUGCAGCGACGCCGCGUGCGGGAUGACGGCCUUCGGGUUGUAAACCGCUUUCGCCUGAGACGAAGCGUGAGUGACGGUACUGGAUAAAGAAGCACCGGCUAACUACGUG
rnacentral:rRNA from 1 species